UACGAAGGGGGCUAGCGUUGCUCGGAAUCACUGGGCGGAAAGCGCACGUAGGCGGAUUGCUAAGUCAGGGGUGAAAUCCUGGAGCUCAACUCCAGAACUGCCUUUGAUACUGGCGAUCUCGAGUUCGGGAGAGGUGAGUGGAACUGCGAGUGUAGAGGUGAAAUUCGUAGAUAUUCGCAAGAACACCAGUGGCGAAGGCGGCUCACUGGCCCGAUACUGACGCUGAGGUGCGAAAGCGUGGGGAGCAAACAGG
rnacentral:rRNA from 1 species